CCCUGAUGUGUAAAAGACACAUCUGCCUCCUCCGGGCGCAGUAACAGUUCUUUGAUCAGUGUGAUGUGUUCCUGCCGUCGCCAUGAAGGGGAUGAAUGUCACUGUCAUUUAACACACCACCUUGGAAAGAAUCCCAGCUGUACACAGCCUAGAUAUACACACACAGGAGCCGUGAUUACACCCUCAGCCGUGUUGCUGUUUGGAUUUUUCCUGGCAAAACAUGUCUGCUUUGCAUUAGUAUCAGGUGUCAAAAUGAUCCCAGUUAAUGUUUGUUUCAAGAGCGGUUUGAUGCCUCCAGGAGUGGACCUCUGAGUUUCUUUAAACUUAACAGGCAGUGCAGAGCACAGAAAGAUACUGCAUAAACCAAAGAGGUGCACACAGGGUCCUGGACUUCAAUUGGCAAAUGGUGACAAAUCAACAAUGCAGAAUCUGAGCUGUGAAUUCUGACCUUCCAAAGCUACUUUCACACAUCUUUUGGAACCAUUAACAUUCAGGACUCCCAACAGUAUAACCACUAACUUGAUGGGGACCAGAUUUGAGGACAGCAAUUUCUGGACGUCUGUCUAGAUUUAGUUCUGAAGCAAGACAAACUCCACUUAUCAAUAGAUUCAAUGCAUCAUGUGUGAGUUAAAGAUGGCAUUGUCUUUUAUUUGCUGUAUUUUCCAAUCAAUUUAUGAAUUAACAUCUUAAAUAGGAUUGAUAUAUUUCUGUAUUUUUAUUUCUUGUCAUUGUCUUUUUUCCUUUCUUAAUAUUGCUUGAAAUAAACCAAUAAAUUAAAGACAAUUUGUGUGAUAAAUGUUUGGUUAAAAUAGGAAAAGACCUCCCCUGAUGUUGUUUAAGGGUUUGGAUGAAAAGAGUGGAGGUCAACAGAAUGUGUGAAUAUGUGUCUGUAUAAACUGAGUGUUGAUGUCCCUACUGUCUUCAUUUGGCUGCAGCUCAUCUAUGUUACAUCAUCACUCCUCCACCUGCAAGACAAUCAUUUUAUUUUACCUUUGGUUCUGUGUGAACCCUUAGGUUCAUGUUAUUCUAUCUUUGACUUUAUGUUAAAAAAAACAAAAACAAUCACAGAAUCUUAACAGAGAGAAGCGCAUGAACAUGUCGGUAAAAAAAGAGUAAUUAAAAUAAAACAUCAGGAAGUAAUGGAGUUGUUAUUAAGGAAAACUGAAAUGCAUUAAUAAAGCAUUUUGAAAAAAUCUGAACGAUAAUCUGUUAUUUACACAUUUAAAAGACUCUUUACCCAGCACUAUGCUUUUCUUAUGCAAUUAUUGCGUCAGGAUCAUGGAGAGAAUGCUUUUUACCAGUUUUACAAAAAAAACCCCACUGAUAUUUCUUAGUUUAGUUGAUUAAUUUCAACUACAAGAAAG